AACCUUUCCAAUUAGCUAGAUCUGAGACUGUGCUGUAAAUAUUAGAGGUCCGUGCCUUGGGCAUUUUGGCACUCUACUCCAAUAUUGGCAUCUGGACACACUGGGGGCUUUAGUGUUUGAAGUUGGUGGUACGGAGCUCUGGUUCAUUGUGUGAAGCAGAGCCUCUGUAGAAAAGGCCAAGGCAUGAAACACCAAGAGAGGUCUAACAGCUUCUCAAAGCCCAUGACUCCUGGCAGCUUGAGUAUGUAGGUCUCUGGGCAUCCUUAUGCAUUCAUGAGCUCAAAGCGGGCAUGGGGCAGAGUUUCCUGAUAUUGGUAUGUGUAGUGGUCUGUCACAAUUAUUCUUAGUCCUAGCACGUCUGCCACAAAACCCAUAGUACCUUUGAGGCAUUCCUCUGACCUUGCAUUGGCAGAGGUAGGAUCUCUUGAUGCAUUGGAGUGUUUUUUGUGCUAAGGCUGAUGCUCAUGCAGCAAGAGUCUGUUUUUCCCAGGUAGGAAGUCUUGACAAUGAUGAUCUAGCACCUCUUACGCUAUGGAUUUCACAAAGCAGAUAAGAUGCUUAGAACCCCUCCAUCACCUAGACAGUUCCAGCUGUGUAAAUGAGGGCAGACUGAGUAUCAGGGUGAUAAAGGCUGUUCUUUGGACUCAGGUGAGCAAGAGGACUAGUUUUAUGCCAAAUAAUUUCUGCGGUAGAGGAACACACCAAUGCCUACAAGAGAGGAGCCCAACUUUCUCCAGUUCUUAUAGAAGCUGACUAAACAAAUGCAUUUUAAUUGAAACUGGUCCAAAAAUUUGCUAAGUCCCCAGUUGAAGUACGUAGCCCAGGAUACUCUUGCAUCUUAUUUUGGACCAGCAACUGAAGAAGGUGUAGCAGACCUCUCAUGCAACUGACCAAGCCUGGAAGACAGCCAAUGAAAAAAAUAUUUUCUUUGUGAGGGUGAUCCCAGCUAUCUAACUGUCUGGAGUGACUCAAGAGCAAGAGUACCAACCUCAGGGCAGCACCAACCCCCCAAAUUGGUCAUGAGUUCUAUACUUAGAUGUCACCAACCAAUUAUCAAGUAUAAACUCUGAGGCACUACAAGAGCCUUAACACAGGGUCACAGACAGUUCUCUUGGGUACUCUCUCUGUGUUACCACCCGGAUAAGCCUACCUUUGUGCUAGAUGGUACGUUACAUCAAGAGUCACAGCAAUAUUCAGGUUACUUGUAGUCCCAAAGGACCAGUCACUUACCUUGGGUCAGUUGCACCUUAGAGCUCACACCAAAGACCAUGCUUGUAGCCAAUCCUAAACUAGCUAAAGAUUUAUUAAAUAGGAAAAGGAAACAGAGUUAUUUACAAGGUUAAAUCAGGUAAACAUAGGUAGAGAAAUAAGCUACAAUCUUAAAUUUCAAAAGGUAAUAGUAGAUUCUCUAAUAAGCAAGCUCUGUAUGUCCUUUAGGGCUAAUCUAGGCUAAACUGCAGGGGAUCACUGGCUUAUGUUUAGGAACCUUGCCUCCAGGUUCCAAGCAGCAAUGAGAAACAGUUCCUUCUUGUUACAGGUUUUUAUUCACUUCUCCCCUUGCGCUCUGAGCUGCAAACUCAUCUAAUGGGAGGAAUUCACUUGCAUGACUCAUCUUGCAUCUCAUGGCAGAGAGCAAUCAGCAAAGUCUUUUGUCCUCUUUAAUGCUCCAUAGUAGUUUGUUUGGAGUUGAUGGGCCUUCCCUGUUGAGCAGGACAUAACACCUUCUGUUGGAGACCAGCAUUUCACACUAGUUAAUGUCCCUCUCCUGUCUAGUGAUUUACACAGUUACUGAGGCUUACAAUACAAAUGCUUAAAUAUUAUUGUGUAAUAUGGGAUACAUAUUAUAAGUGAGAAUGCAUGCAGCAACUCACAAGCAUUCAAUAAAAUCUAACACAUUCUUAUAAUUCUAAUAUCUAUUAUAACAAUACUAUUACACAGGUGAGCCAGACUGAUUCCAGUUAUGGAUAUGUCGGUGUUCAAUUGAGACAUGGGGAUCUUGGCAUGAGCUGGUACCUGGUCUGUCAGCAUCAUACCCUCUACAGCUCUCACCCUCCUUAUGUUAGAGAUCUUCAGGUAUGGUAUCUCUGAGCAGGUGAUUUGGUCCUCCUGGCAUUUCAGAAGCCAUCUACAAAAAGGAGCUACAACUCCAAGUGGAUAAUUAAGAGUCCUCUCCAAGGUGGUCUUGAAGUUUCCACAAUAUUCACUGGGCAUGGCUGUUACUAGAGGACUAUACCUGAAUGAAUAUCUGAUUGCAUUUCACAUUGCUAGGGACUGGCUGACCUGAAACUAGAAAGUUAUGUCAAUGUUCGCGCAAUUCAGAUGAACGCUGACCAUAACCUACCUUCAUGGAUGUUUUCAUCAGACAUAUGUAAAGUAGCUGCAUGGUUUUCUCUCCAUAUGUUCACAAAGCAUUAUUGCAUAGGCUCCUCAUCCAGGAGGAAAUCCUGUUUUGGAUUCUUGCAUUUCCAAGGUGGAGAAGGCCAAACUCUUUUACCUGGAGAAGUUUUUUUUUUUUAAUGUCAAGAUAUCCCAAAUUUUCAUUUGUCUCACUUGUGUGGGUUUGUCUUUCUGAUAAUUAUUUCUUUCAGCAGACUUCAAUGUUAUGUCCAAUUACUUGAUUUGUAAGAGGUCACUUGCUGCUCCUUAUACUGUUUAAUGCUGGACGUAAUAAAAGAAGAUCUCAGUUAAUGCUUUUGUCACUAACCUUGUUAUUGCCACUUGUUUUAAUGUCUGUCUCUCUUUUUGGACAUUUUUCAGUCUUUCUUUCCUGAAGUGAGAGU